GCUAGUUCCAAGACAUGAAUUUUUGUAUGAAGAUAAAAUGUGGAGACAUCCAUAUAGAAUAGAAAGCAUGGGCCGACAAUUUUCAUUUCAUGAAGAAGCAUCACUUGUAUAUUACAAUCCUGGUAUCUUGGUUCAUGUAGAUGAUAACUUUUAUCAAAGAAAUGCAAUAAAUUUUGCAAAUUACAGACAAUAUGCAUAUCCAGGUGCUUAUAAAAGAUAUCCAGAUUAUUAUUACAGUGAUGUUAGAGAACGAAGGCGAUUUUAUCCCAAUCCUUAUUUACCAAAUCACUUAACACCAGAUGAUUUUGAAGAUGAUCAACCUCCAAGAAAAAGAUUAAAAAUAGAAAAUGGUUCUAACAUCUAUAAUAAUGACUUAAAUUAUAUAACCAACAAACAUAAAAUUUAUGAUCACCAAGAACAACAAAGCAAUGAACCUGUAAUACAAAAUCCACAGUUUGCUGAACAAAAAUUAGAUCCUCUAAAAUUGAGUGAACAAUUACAAAAACAUUUUGGAAAACCAUCAUCAUUUUCUCAGUCUACUGUGAACUCAUCUGAUGAAACUAAUUUAAACCAUUCAAUUACAGAGAGUCAUAAUAGUGGAUUGUUGGUAGAACAAAUGAAAGAAAUUUAUGACACACUCAUUGCAAAGGAUGAUCCAAAAAAUUCAGAUGAAUUAUGGCCAAUAAAUGAAAAAGAUAAUAAUUUUAUAUCAAGAAGCAGUGGUGGGACUUGUCGAAAUUGCAUGAAAAUAGGACAUUCUGUAAAAAAUUGCAAGAAUCCAAGAAAAAUACCACUUUGUUUUAUUUGUGGAAGUGAUAAACAUGAAGGAGAAGUUUGUAAGGAAAUAAGAUGCAGCAGGUGUUUAAGACUUGGCCAUUAUCCAGAGCGUUGUAACUGGUAUGAGAGGGAAUGGAAUAUUUGUAACCUAUGCAAAAUUCCUGGUCAUUUUUUUGAAGAAUGUCCUGAUAUGUGGAGGCGAUAUCAUCUCACAACUUCUACAGGAAAUAUUGUUUCUCAGUCUUCUCAGUUGCCAAAUCCAUAUAAAUUUUGUUAUAAUUGUGCAGAAGAAGGACAUUUUGGGCAUGAAUGCCAUGAAAAUAGAUUAGAUAAGUAUUCCUAUCCUUCUAAUCCUUUCAUCAUCAGCUAUGGUAUACAGAAAGAAACCAGUAAUUCAGUUAAAACUGAGGUAAAAAAGAUUGUAAAAGAAAAAUCUGAAGAACCCGAAGAAACCAUCAAAAAACGUUUUAAUGUUUUUAAAGAACUCUGGUCUAAACAGUGAAUUUUGUGAUUAUGUAUACACAGAGUAUUUUCCUUAAUAGAUUUUAUCAAAAAAAUUAUCUACAUCCAUUAUUUAAUAAUAGAGGAAAAUAUUUUCUUCCUUU
rnacentral:misc_RNA from 1 species